rnacentral:ncRNA from 1 species
UAACGGCGGUGCUAUGGUCGCAAGAUUGUAGUGCUGACUGUUAUAAGCCCUGGUGAAUGUCGGCGAUAACUAUAGUUGACGAUUGUAGUUAUCUGAAUAAAUCUUGCUAUAUGCUGGAAACUCCGAGUAUCCAACAGUACCGAAAGGUGAAAAUCUGUUGGUGCGGCUGCCGUCGCUAAAGCUAUGGCGGCCAACGGACAAUCAGCAGGAAAGACUUGUGAACUUCAUGAAGGGAUUAGUAUGAAAAAAGAUAAAAAUAGUAAGCUUGUUCCAAUUCAGGUUCAUAUCGAGGACACCAGCUCAGUUCCCGGAAUGCGAAUUCCAAUGGUGGGUUGCGUGUUGUUGAGUGGACGUAUUCCUUUUGCCCAAUUAAGGCAAAUCGCAUUGGCCUCAAGGUUGAGGCCACCACUGAAGCAAUGAUCUUGCUUCAGUGCAACAAGGGCGAAAUCAACUUCGCCCCCUUCAUGAAGUUCGCAAGAAUCCUCAGAGACUAAUACGCAAGACGACUUCAAAUCAAUGCUGGAAUGAAGCCGACGAUUUGAAGGCGAUGAUAGAGUCCGAUCUUCAUGGCGACAUGAAG